rnacentral:rRNA from 1 species
GUGUCAGCAGCCGCGGUAAUACGUAGGGUCCAAGCGUUAAUCGGAAUUACUGGGCGUAAAGCGUGCGCAGGCGGUUGUGCAAGACCGAUGUGAAAUCCCCGAGCUUAACUUGGGAAUUGCAUUGGUGACUGCACGGCUAGAGUGUGUCAGAGGGGGGUAGAAUUCCACGUGUAGCAGUGAAAUGCGUAGAGAUGUGGAGGAAUACCGAUGGCGAAGGCAGCCCCCUGGGAUAACACUGACGCUCUUGCACGAAAGCGUGGGGAGCAAACAGGAUUAGAUACCCCUGUAGUCC